GCUGUAGCUCAGCGGUAGAGCAUCUGCCUCACAUGCAGAAGGUCCCUGGUUCGAUCCCCGGCAUCUCCA